rnacentral:rRNA from 1 species
UACGGGGGGUGCGAGCGUUAAUCGGAAUUACUGGGCGUAAAGGGCACGCAGGCGGUUGUUUAAGUGAGAUGUGAAAGCCCCGGGCUUAACCUGGGAAUUGCAUUUCAGACUGGACGACUAGAGUACUUUAGGGAGGGGUAGAAUUCCACGUGUAGCGGUGAAAUGCGUAGAGAUGUGGAGGAAUACCGAAGGCGAAGGCAGCCCCUUGGGAAUGUACUGACGCUCAUGUGCGAAAGCGUGGGGAGCAAACAGG